GUGUUUUAUAAAAGGAGAGAAGGUAAGUACUUCCCUUGACAAGGAUGGAAAAGGCCCCUCGGGUCUGACAACACAGACAGGGUUAAGGCAUUACCACCUACUUCAUGGCAUCUAACAACGUUUUUUU
ensembl:snRNA